UGAAUACGAGAUGCUACGGCGUCGAAGCAGUGUAUGUCAGACUUCCAAGAAAAGCUCGCAAUGUCAUAAAUAAAGAAUGCCUGUACCAUAACCGACACAGGUGGGUAGGUAGAGUAUACUAAGGGGCGCGAGAUAACUCUCUCUAAGGAACUCGGCAAAAUAACUCCGUAACUUCGGGAGAAGGAGUGCCUUCUUUAAGAAGGUUGCAAUAACAAGAUCCAAGCAACUGUUUAUCAAAAACACAGGUCUCCGCUAAGUCGUAAGACGAUGUAUGGGGGCUGACGCCUGCCCAGUGCCAGAAGGUUAAAGAAGCUGGUUAGCAAUAGCGAAGCUGGUGACUGAAGCCCUGGUGAACGGCGGCCGUAACGAUAACGGUCCUAAGGUAGCGAAAUUCCUUGUCGGGUAAGUUCCGACCCGCACGAAAGGCGUAAUGAUUUGGAUACUGUCUCGGAGAGGGACUCGGUGAAAUAGACUUGUCUGUGAAGAUGCGGACUACCUGCACCAGGACAGAAAGACCCUAUGAAGCUUUACUGUAACCUGAAAUUGAAAUUGGACUUUAUUUGCGCAGUAUAGGUGGGAGGCGUUGAAAGUAAUCUUGCGGGAUUAGCGGAGCCAUCAGUGAGAUACCACUCCUAUAAUGUUAGAUUUCUAACUUUGGAUCAUGAUCUGGUCAAAGAACAGUUUCAGGCGGGCAGUUUGACUGGGGCGGUCGCCUCCCAAAUGGUAACGGAGGCGUACAAAGGUUUCCUCUGAACGGGUAGAAAUCGUAUCUAGAGUGUAAAGGCAUAAGGAAGCUUGACUGUGAGACCUACAAGUCGAGCAGGGACGAAAGUCGGUCUUAGUGAUCUGACGGUGCUGAGUGGAAAGGCCGUCACUCAACGGAUAAAAGUUACUUUAGGGAUAACAGGCUGAUCUCCCCCAAGAGUUCACAUCGACGGGGAGGUUUGGCACCUCGAUGUCGGCUCAUCGCAUCCUGGGGCGGUAGUACGUCCCAAGGGUUGGGCUGUUCGCCCAUGAAAGCGGUACGCGAGCUGGGUUCAGAACGUCGUGAGACAGUUCGGUCCAUAUCCGGUGUAGGCGUUAGAAUAUUGAGAGGAGCCUUCUCUAGUACGAGAGGACCGAGAAGGACAUACCUCUGGUGUACCAGUUAUCGUGCCAACGGUAAACGCUGGGUAGCUAUGUAUGGAGAGGAUAACCGCUGAAAGCAUCUAAGUGGGAAGCCCACCUCAAGAUGAGUAUUCUCAUC
rnacentral:rRNA from 1 species